rnacentral:rRNA from 1 species
AGAACCUUACCAGCUUUUGACAUGUCCUGGACGGAUUGCAGAGAUGCGAUCUUCCCUUCGGGGCCGGGAACACAGGUGCUGCAUGGCUGUCGUCAGCUCGUGUCGUGAGAUGUUGGGUUAAGUCCCGCAACGAGCGCAACCCUCGCCCUUAGUUGCCAUCAUUCAGUUGGGCACUCCAGGGGGACUGCCGGUGAUAAGCCGGAGGAAGGUGGGGAUGACGUCAAGUCCUCAUGGCCCUUACAGGCUGGGCUACACACGUGCUACAAUGGCGGUGACAACGGGAGGCGAAGGGGCGACCCUUAGCAAAUCUCGAAAAGCCGUCUCAGUUCGGAUUGCACUCUGCAACUCGAGUGCAUGAAGUUGGAAUCGCUAGUAAUCGCGGAUCAGCACGCCACGGUGAAUACGUUCCCGGGCCUUGUCACACCGA